rnacentral:rRNA from 1 species
UACCAGCACCCCGAGUGGUCUGGCCGAUUAUUGGGCCUAAAGCAUCCGUAGCCGGUUUUACAAGUCCUCCGUUAAAUCCAGCUGCUUAACAGAUGGGCUGCGGAGGAUACUAUAAGACUAGGAGGCAGGAGAGGCAAGCGGUACUCAGUGGGUAGGGGUAAAAUCCGUUGAUCCAUUGAAGACCACCAGUGGCGAAGGCGGCUUGCCAGAAUGCGCUCGACGGUGAGGGAUGAAAGCUGGGGGAGCAAACCGG